GCUUGUCUCAAAGAUUAAGCCAUGCAUGUCUAAGUAUAAGUAUUAUACAGCGAAACUGCGAAUGGCUCAUUAAAACAGUUAUGGUUUAUUUGAUAAUCGAAUUUUACAUGGAUAACCGUGGUAAUUCUAGAGCUAAUACAUGCGUCAAUACCCUUCUGGGGUAGUAUUUAUUAGAUUGAAACCAACCGCUUCGGCGUGAUGUGGUGAUUCAUAAUAAAUUUGCGAAUCGCAUGGCUUUACGCCGGCGAUGGAUCAUUCAAGUUUCUGCCCUAUCAGCUUUGGAUGGUAGGGUAUUGGCCUACCAUGGCUUUAACGGGUAACGGAGAAUUAGGGUUCGAUUCCGGAGAGGGAGCCUGAGAAAUGGCUACCACAUCCAAGGAAGGCAGCAGG
rnacentral:rRNA from 1 species